UCAAAAUAUGGCUUUUACUCAGUAGAGUGGAUUUCCUGGGUCAGGCAUCUCCUUGCUGUGUUCUGAUUGGCAGUCGGCAGUCAGCAUUCAUUCAAGAACAGCAAGUUUAUGCGAAGAAGAAUGGAAUGCCGUGUGCUGGAGAAAGGGUGAGUAUUAAUGUAAUGCGACUCAGUACAUCAGUCCUCAACAGGAUCUAAUUCCAACUCUCUGUAAAGGAAACACCUGGCCAGCUUUCCUUGUCACCCAUUUCCUAUUGCCAUGGAAACCUUUGUUUCCAAAGGUUGUUUAUGAUAUCACGGAAUCAUCAGGAAUCUGGGUGGUCCCAGUUGGUAGGUCUUGCCUUAGGAUCUGGAAUCAUGCAGAGCACUUUACAGGCUUACCCAGGAGGUCACCUGCAGUCUGGUUCUGAUGAAUGCUCUUCUUACGGGCUGACAUGCAUCUUAACGUAGUGAUCCUGCCUUAGCCCAUCUGGGGAAACAGGGGACUUUGAGGCUAUGCCAUUAAUUGUUUCUUAAAUGGUAGGAUUAAUAUAUAAGAUUGCCUACAAUUGAAUAAGGCAAACAACGUAAACUAUGAGUGCAAAAACUAUAAUACAACUCAUGGACAUAAUUAGGAUUCUCUUACUUUUGCCCCCAAAAUAUUGACAGACAGAGAUGGAGCAGGAAGAACUGCUGCACUGUUAGCCAUGCUCAGAAUCACUCUUCAUGAAUUUGUUUUUUAAGAUGGUUGAGGCUCAGUGCAAGUGUGAGUUGGUUUCCACUGCGUGGUUGGGUAACCCCUGCCCAUCCCUUCUCUGACUUCCAUAAUUGGUCCAAUGCUACAGAUAAUGAGCUCGCUGCCUGGGUGGCCACAACUGAUGUCUGAAACUGAUUUCUGAAAACAAUAUGUCUGUCAGGUGUCAUUAAGCAAGAACCUGAGAGGGAGCAUUUAAAACCAGCAAACUGAUGGACAGAAAAGAUAAAAGUGACAACCAUUGAAAAUGUAUGUUUCUCCACAUCUAACAAGGUUUUGAAUAACUGUAAAAAUUAUAAA